CCCUCUACCAAUUGAAUCAUUAACCCUCCUCAUCUAUUUUCGAGUUUCAAUGUCCCACUUUUUAUAAAAUCUGUUAACAAAAUUGACGGUAAAACACUAUCUACCACAACAAAUCCCUUAAAUGCCCCUCUUCCCCAUUUCUUUGUUUUUUGGGUAAGGAAAUAUCUCUCUCUGAGUCUCUCCCCUACAUCUACAUAUCAUCACGUCUUGUUCCUCCACAUCUCUUCCCUCCCUAACCUGUUUCUUACUCCAUUUGUAACAUUCGUUCUCCGUCUCUCCAUUCUUAGAUCACGUCUUCUUGGAUGACAAGUAGCAGCUCUGGUAAUAGCAAGAAACGUUCAAGCCCCAGUCUGAUUGUGUUAUGUAAAUGUGGAAUUAGGGCUCUACUUGUUACAUCCAAGAUAGAUGACAACCCAGGUAGAAGGUUCUUGGGUUGCAUAAAUUAUGAAAAGCCGAAUGGUUGCACCUUUUUUACAUGGUUGAAAAUGAAGAUCUGCUAAGGAGAA